rnacentral:rRNA from 1 species
GACGAACGCUGGCGGCGUGCUUAACACAUGCAAGUCGAACGGAAAGGCCCUGCUUGUGUGGUGUGCUCGAGUGGCAAACGGGUGAGUAACACGGGAGUAACCUGCCCUUGACUUGGGGAUAACUUCAGGAAACUGGGGCUAAUACCGGAUAGGAGCUCCUGCUGCAUGGUGGGGGUUGGAAAGUUUCGGCGGUUGGGGAUGGACUCGCGGCUUAUCAGCUUGUUGGUGGGGUAGUGGCUUACCAAGGCUUGGAGGGGUAGCCGGCCUGAGAGGGUGACCGGCACCAUUGGGCCUGGGAUACGGCCCAGCCUCAUCCGGGGGGCAGCGGUGGGGAAUAUUGCACAAUGGGGGGAGCCCUGAUGCAGGACCGCGGCGUGCGGGAUGCCGGCUUUCGGGUUGUAAACCGCUUUCGCCUGUGCCAAAGCGUGAGUGACGGUACUUAGUAAAGAAGCACCGGCUAACUACGUG